UACGGAGGGUGCAAGCGUUAUCCGGAUUCACUGGGUUUAAAGGGUGCGUAGGUGGGCAGGUAAGUCAGUGGUGAAAUCUCUGGGCUUAACUCAGAAACUGCCAUUGAUACUAUCUGUCUUGAAUACCGUGGGGGUCAGCGGAAUAUGACAUGUAGCGGUGAAAUGCUUAGAUAUGACAUAGAACACCAAUUGCGAAGGCAGCUGGCUACACGAAUAUUGACACUGAUGCACGAAAGCGUGGGGAUCAAACAGG
rnacentral:rRNA from 1 species